AAACCAAUAUCUUAAAUGAAAAAUUAUUUUCUGCGGCAGAGGAGUAAAUGCUGUACUUACUGCGUCCCGCAACAAACGUUUUACUUGACUAAACAAGGACCAACAGAAUCCGCUUUAUCUGCUUUUUCAAGCCAGGUUUCAGGAUUCUUUCUGUGCCGAUUACGAUCAAAACCUCUGUCUGAAGCACUUCCUUUUUCUCCGAGCAUCCUACACGCCUGUUGCUUUUAGCUACGAAGGUAGAGUUACUACGAUUUUUUUUCUAGUUUACUCAUUUCCUGGAGAUGAGCUUUUUUUUCUCUCCCUCCCAAAACUCUAUCCACCCAUCGGAGAAAAAAAGCGGUGCGUCCAACUUUCUGUAGAGUCCCAGGACCUUCUUAAGGUGAUAACUCAGUUUCUUUGAAAUGUAAGUUUAAAUUGGUAAGUCUGAGUAGCUGCUGAAGGAUAUGAGAAGGUGGAUAUGAGGAUAUGAGAAGAAUGUGAGAAGGUGGCCCUCUUACUAUCUGAUGCCUUGCAGUUUGAAUUGGAGACAAUUACUACCCAUGUCUUUUGGCCCAGAAUCAUCCAUUAACCAUCUGUUUCAAGAUAUAUGGCUUUUUUUCUAUUACUACGCUCUAUGUAGAUGAAAACCUGUGCUGAAUUUGACCUAUUUCAGAAAUGCAAUUAACAAUUAAUGUGGAAAGAUUUGGUUUUCUGAAUCUGGAGCUAUAUCAUAUUCUUACCUAUUGUCAAGUAUAGUAUUAAUUAUUGGAUACAAACAAUUGCUGUCAUUUUUCCAAUUUGGGCAACUUUGGAAUACAUAUAUUUUUUUUUACCUUAUUUCCCAUGCUGAAUUGAUUUUAUGGAAAAACCCAACUUUAAAAAUAGAAAAAGAGAUAGUGAUUUGUAAACAUUGGAUGGAAGCAGGGAUAUUGAUUUUGGAUCACUGAACUGAUGACAAAGAUGAAUAUUUACCAUAUCAUUUAUAAUAUGUAAUCAGAUGUGGGAUUCAGCUGGUUUACACCACUUCGGCAGAACUGGUAGCUAAUUUUUUGUUGCCCAGGCCCAGAAUGGAUUUCCGGAAGCAGCACCCACACAGAGAACCGCUUGUUCACAUAUUUGAAUCCCACCACUGUAUGUAACCCAGUCAUAAUAUCUACAGUUUCAACAUUUGUUAACAACAUUGCAUGGAUCAGUAGUAUUCUCAUCUUCAGAGACACCUAAGAUAUACUGGAACAAUCUGUUAAAACUUUAAAACUAAAAUACCUCUAUUAUUUAUUUAUUUUUAAAAAUCAAUAAAUGAAUUUGAGAUGCAGAUGCUAAAUGGAAAUGAGUGAAAUAAAGAAUUCCUAUACUGUC